rnacentral:rRNA from 1 species
UACGAAGGGGGCGAGCGUUGUUCGGAAUUACUGGGCGUAAAGCGCGUGUAGGCUGCUUCGAAAGUCGGGUGUGAAAGCCCAGGGCUCAACCCUGGAAGUGCACUCGAAACUUCGGAGCUUGAGUCUCGGAGAGGAUGGCGGAAUUCUCGGUGUAGAGGUGAAAUUCGUAGAUAUCGAGAGGAACACCGGUGGCGAAGGCGGCUAUCUGGACGAUGACUGACGCUGAGACGCGAAAGCGUGGGGAGCAAACAGG